ACGGGAGGCAGCAGUGGGGAAUAUUGCACAAUGGGGGAAACCCUGAUGCAGCGACGCCGCGUGAGUGAAGAAGUAUUUCGGUAUGUAAAGCUCUAUCAGCAAGGAAGAAAAUGACGGUACUUGACUAAGAAGCCCCGGCUAACUACGUGCCAGCAGCCGCGGUAAUACGUAGGGGGCAAGCGUUAUCCGGAUUUACUGGGUGUAAAGGGAGCGUAGACGGUAUGGCAAGUCUGAAGUGAAAUGCCAGGGCUUAACCCUGGAACUGCUUUGGAAACUGUGGUACUAGAGUGCAGGAGAGGUAAGUGGAAUUCCUAGUGUAGCGGUGAAAUGCGUAGAUAUUAGGAGGAACACCAGUGGCGAAGGCGGCUUACUGGACUGUAACUGACGUUGAGGCUCGAAAGCGUGGGGAGCAAACAGGAUUAGAUACCCUGGUA
rnacentral:rRNA from 1 species